rnacentral:lncRNA from 1 species
CAGGCUGCCAAUGGAAUAUGUGAUCUGCGUGCUAUAGUGUAAGUAAGAUUUUUUUGUAAAGAGUUCAAUAACCCCACGGAUUAUUUCUCCUGUAGAAUGCCAUCAGUCACCGUCAUCAUAUAAAGAUUUAUAUUCUAUAAAAAUAUAACAGACCAUCUUUGCUAUCAAAAUCCAGUUAUUUAAAAAAAAAAAACAUUUUCGUCCUCUUCUUUUUUUUUUUGUUUGCAUAAAUACCAUGUAUGUAUUGUAUGUAAAAUAAAAAACACUUUAUAAAAUAAAGGUGUAGCUACUAAAUAGUGAUUUUAAAUAUAUAUAUAUAUAUAUAUAUAUAUUGUCUCUGGGAAUCAGAACAAUAGGUUCUUUGUACUCAUCAUAAAGUAAUUGUUUUCUUGUUUUACGUUAAGAGGGAAUUUAUUUGAAAUCCCCUUUACUAUAUUUCCUUGUUCUGUUUGGUUUUUUGGACAGGUUGCGCACAAAGCGCAGGACAUUAUGCAUGAAUCCCACAAAUAAGCAAGUCUUGAAAUGGAUCAAGAAGAAAAAGAAAAGUGCGCAAUGCGAGACGACGUCAACAUGCCGUGGCAAAAAUAAGAAAAACAAAAAAAGAAAGCGAAAAAGAACAACGUUUUUAAAAGUUUAAAGGGCUCAUCGUGCACUAAUGACUACUGACAAUAGGAUCGACUCUUGCUACCACUUAUGAAGUGGACAUAAUCAACUUACUUAAAACCUUUUUAGCUAUCACAAAGAAAUGUAGGGGCAGGUAACUGGAUUGAGGAUAUACCGAAGGUUUACUAGAAUAAACUGCAUUUUUAAGGCAUAGCGUUUUAAACAUACAUUUAUCCCUGUGAAUCUAUUAGCAAAAAACUGGACAGUGAUAUCGCACCUUCGGACUGCAAAAUGUUUUGUAAAUUACAUUUCCCAUGAUGUUCAGUGGGCAAGCUUUGCAAUUAAAUUGUGAAAAAUGACAUGCAUAUUUUAGAGAAUUUUGCCUACAAGUAUAAACAAGACACUAACAGGUGGUUUUAAGACACUGUCACGGAUAUUCAAGCAAGAUAAAAAAAAAAAAAAAAUAUUCAAAGCUUGUUUUUUGGAAUCGAUUUUCAAUCCUCUCAAGAGUCAGUAAAGAUAAGGUUGAAUGUGAGCAAGUCAGAGGAAAAAGCUGUGUAAGCACAAGCCUAAACAACUACAACUAAAACAAGAUAUAGUAAACUAAUAAAGUGAAAUAAUCGCAUAAGUCAGAUUCAGUUAAAGCAUUAAAAGGGCAGACAAUUUGCAAGAAAUACGUGGUUGCCGAAAAUUUUGCUUGAUGUGUGAUUUCUACAUGUGACACAUGAGAAUGUGGUUAAACUUGAAAAAGUAAAUGUAACAAGACAAAAAAAAUGGGAAGAAAAAUGACACGUGGUAGAAAACUGUAUAGAACAGUGUAGGCAACCUUUUAGAAACAAGUCUCUAAAAUCCCUUGGCUGGUCCUAUUUUAUUUAAAUUAAAGUGUGUAUGUUGCCUUAUUCUGCUUGUGUUAUGUAACAGUGCUGCAGUUGCUUUGUAGGAUUCUAUUUGGGCAAAUGUGAGCGGUGUUAUAUGUGUAAGCAGUUAGUGGUAGUAUGUGUUACAUAUAUAUGUGGGCUGUGUAUCAUGUGUGAAUGUGGGCUGUCUAUGUAGGACUGCUCGUGGAAUUGUGAGAGUGUCAGAUUGUAUUGUGCGUGUGUGUGGUGUUAUGUAUAUGUUUGGGUACUGCGCGUGUGAGGCUGCUUGUGGUGAUGUGUGCAAGUAUGUGUGUUGUCAGUGGUAUUUUGUUCAUGGUGGCUGUGUGUGUGCUGUUUGUAGUAUUUGCCUGCUGGGGACUCUUCUUCUGCGGCUGUGUCUGAAUGUCUUGCUAUGUAGGUGGUUUCCUUGGGUUCCAGUGGGGAACAGGAUGGCCAGGUACAGGUCAAGUGCAGGGGCUACAUUAACAGCUGAGGGCUGCUCUUAUCCAGUGCGGAUUCCCCUUUACAAGCAGUGGGAGGAAGUGAUUUGAGAUCAAUUCCUCCAUGUGCUGCAAUGACUAAAUUGAGGACUGCACCACAUCAACUGCUGCAAUCACUGCUUGGCCAAACAUUCAGCUGGAACCAGCAGAUAUCUGAAGAAAUCUCACUGGGGCCACUUAUAGGCCAGCCCCAGGCGAGAUCCUAAGAUAUCCUCAUCCUGUUUGGAUCUGGCAGCCUUGCUGGCCAUUUAAAGCUAAAUUGACCACGUGCAUGGCACACGUGCCAUAGGUUGCUGAACCCUGGUAUAAUGCAUUCUCACAAGGUCUUAAUAAACCUCUGAGCACUUCUAUAAUUACCAGGAAAUAGUCUUCAUGUGUGCAACUCAACUAAGUUUCUCUCUCUCUCUCUCUCUCUCUCUCUCUCAAUGUUAUAUAUGUUUUACUUUCCAUAGUGCAUAUUUCUCUGAACAAGUCAACAAUGAUAAAUAACCAAUUUAGUUUUUAUCCCCCAUCAUAGAUACGCCAUCAUAUCUAGCAUAUGAAACACAAUGGAGACUGUGCAUAAGAUGCAAUUGUGUGGGUGAAGAGCUAGUGUAUGGAGCAAUUUGCGGUGCCGUUCUGUUGGUUUCCAUAGUGAUUUUUUUACUUUUAGAUUUUUUUCCUUCAAAAUUGUUCUUUAUGCAUGUAUAUAUUUAAAAAG